AACGCUAGCUACAGGCUUAACACAUGCAAGUCGAGGGGAAACGACAUCGAAAGCUUGCUUUUGAUGGGCGUCGACCGGCGCACGGGUGAGUAACGCGUAUCCAACCUGCCCACCACUUGGGGAUAACCUUGCGAAAGUAAGACUAAUACCCAAUGAUAUCCCACGAAGGCAUCCGAAUGGGAUUAAAGAUUUAUCGGUGAUGGAUGGGGAUGCGUCUGAUUAGCUUGUUGGCGGGGUAACGGCCCACCAAGGCAACGAUCAGUAGGGGUUCUGAGAGGAAGGUCCCCCACAUUGGAACUGAGACACGGUCCAAACUCCUACGGGAGGCAGCAGUGAGGAAUAUUGGUCAAUGGGCGAGAGCCUGAACCAGCCAAGUAGCGUGCAGGAUGACGGCCCUAUGGGUUGUAAACUGCUUUUAUAAGGGAAUAAAGUGGGUCACGUGUGACUUUUUGCAUGUACCUUAUGAAUAAGGACCGGCUAAUUCCGUGCCAGCAGCCGCGGUAAUACGGAAGGUCCGGGCGUUAUCCGGAUUUAUUGGGUUUAAAGGGAGCGUAGGCUGGAGAUUAAGCGUGUUGUGAAAUGCCGCGGCUCAACCGUGGCACUGCAGCGCGAACUGGUUUCCUUGAGUGCGCUGAAAGUGGGCGGAAUUUGUGGUGUAGCGGUGAAAUGCUUAGAUAUCACGAAGAACUCCGAUUG
rnacentral:rRNA from 1 species